rnacentral:lncRNA from 1 species
GGGCAUUUGGGGCAGUUUUUGGGGCAUUUUUGUGGAUUUUUGGGGGGAAUUUUGUGGUUUUUUUUUUUAGGGGGGGAUUUUGGGUCAAUUUUAGGGGCAUUUGGGGNCAUUUUGGGGGGUUUUGGGGCCAUUUGGGGGGGAUAUUUUGGGAUUUGGGGAUUUUGGGGCCAUUUUGGGGCCAUUUGGGUGGUUUGGGGGAAAAUUUGGGUGGUUUGGGGGCCAUUUGGGGUGAUUUUGGGGCCAUUUUGGGUGGUUUGGGGGCCAUUUUGGGUGAUUUUGGGGCCAUUUUGGGUGGGUUUUGGGGCCAUUUGGGGGCUUUUGGGGGGAUAUUUUGGGAUUUGGCCAUUUUGGGGCCAUUUUGGGGCCAUUUGGGACCAUCCUUGCCCUUUUCUCCCCGCAGGCCCCCCCAGAAGAAGACCCGGCCCCCCCCCAGGACGAGACCCUCGGGGCCACCCCGCGCCCCCCGGUGACGUCCCCGCGUCCCCCCCGGGCCACCAAACGGCCCCAAACGGCCCCAAAUCCCCCAUUAUUGGCCCCAAAACCACCCAAAAGGCCCCGGCUGGCCCCGGGGGGCCACCGUCCCCAAACGACCCCAAAUUCGUGUCCCCAAACGUCCCCAAAUUCGCGUCCCCGAACCUCCUCAACCUCCUCCAACUCUUGGCCUCCACCCCCGUUGACGUCCUCCACCCCGUCCCGACCUCCUCCAGCCUCCAAAAACUCUUCCAACUCUUGGCCUCCACCCCCGUUGAGGUCCUCCACCCCGUCCCGACCUCCUCCAACCUCCUCGACCUCCUCCAACUCUUCUCCUCCGACCUCCUCGAGGUCCUCCAAGCCAUGUCCUCAAAGGUUGAGGGCCUC